CUACAAAUCACCUCAGAAAGCCUCCCGCUGCCUCAUUUCUUCUUUCUUUCUCUCAGUUUCUUCUUCACUCUUCUUCUUCUUCGAAAAGCACUGCCGCUGCCUCCCAUUUUCACUUCAGAUUUCAAUCUUUUAAUUCAAAUCGAAGUACCGCGCAACAUGAUUUUGUACUGCCGCUGCCGUUAUUUUGGAUUCACCAGCAGGAAGAAGAAGUAUUAACUGAUGUACCGGCAAUUAGGAUAUGAGAUUGCAGAGAUUAUGGUUUACUGUCAAAUGUCAUGACUCCUUCCUUUGUAUUGUAUGCGCACAACUCAUUCGACGAAAGUCCCAACGGAAGAAGGGGUACUUCGUAGCUCAAGGCUGUAUCAAACCACUGUGCGAUCUUUUAAUCUGCCCCGAUGCUAGGAUUGUUACCGCCUGUUUGGAAGGUCUCGAUAAGACUGAGAAGACCAUGGAAUACACUGAUGAGGAAGAGGGAUUGGAGAAGAUUGAAAACUUACAGAGUCACGCAACACUGAGAUAUAUGAGAAGGCGGUGAAAUUCUUGAGACUUACUGGGUGGAGGAGGAAUAUGAAAUGCCUCCUCUAAGUGAUGCUGCCCGGACAAAGUUCCAUUUUGGAGGGACCCAGCCCCAACUUCCUUCUGGUGGAUUUAACUUCGGCUGAAGGAGUGAGAGUACCUGUUGUGUAAAUUCGUCUCUAUACUGCACUAGGAAGAAUCCGACCCUCUAUGUUCAAAGACUUCAGAAAUCGUGAUGCUUUUGAAUUUUUCAAUCGUGAUAUACAGGGGACAACAUCUGUUGUGCUUGCAGGGAUUUUUUCCGCCUUGAAGUUGGUUGUUGGGACUUGAGCUGACUAUGUAUUUUUGUUUCUUGGUUCUAGAGAGAAAACUCGUAGAUAGAGAAAUCUUGAAUUGAGUUGAUCGUUAGCGACUCGAAAGAAAUUUGGCUUUGUAAACUCCAGGUACUUGAAUAACAACCACUUUAUGGAAUACAGAUCACAUUGGAUGUGCGUAGUUUGUCAGUACCUGCUUUAAUAUUGGCAGUUUGAAUUCUACCGAAUACUACAUAGAUUAAUCUAAAGCAUCGGAACAAUUCCUGCAAGAUCUCUGUGACAAGAUAUAUGAUGUUACCAUUCAUUGAGGAGUUAAAGACCAUGAGUUCUUUGUAUUUGUAAGUGGAAAUCAUCAUUUAGUUUGAAAUCAUCAUCUUCGCACGCCAUGGUUAUAUUUCUUAGAGAAUGUAAUACAAAAAAGAUAGAAAACAUAAAUUGGUGGUUUGUUUAUUUAUAGCUUCUGUUUCCUCCUCUUCUGUCUUUGUGUUUCUGUAACGAGUGUAUAGAUGGUGGAAAAUGUAUGAUUCACAGAUUGAAAAUAUAUGAAUUACUGAUUGAAAAAAAACAUAUUGCAAUUGUGUGUCAGGCUC